rnacentral:lncRNA from 1 species
GUUGGGAGAAAGCGCCCUACAGCCACAAGCCACCUCCCCUCCCCCAGAAAGACAGACUCCAUCAGAAAAGGAUGCGCGGGCCAUUCAGACCUGGUUAGCUGAGAAUCAGCAAGGUCCUGGGUCAGAUGCCUGGGCUCCAACCCAACUUGACUCUCUGAGUCUCAGUUCCCUCGUCUGUGAAAUGGGCACAAUACCAACACCCAGGACUAGGCACAUAGGGUGGGCGCAUCGGGAGGUUUGGCGGCAACAGUACAUGUGAGGCUUUGCCCCUCCUCUGUGCCAGGUCCGCUCUGACACUCUGAAAACCUCUCAGGACUUCAUCCUCUGUGAGGCGCUUUCACACCCUCCCCAUCCUCAGGCAGGACUUUGAAGAGGGCAUGCGGGUUCCAGUGGAGAACCUGGCUUGGCCCGGCACUGGCCAGCAGUGUGAGCAGUGUGACCUUGGUUCCUCCAAGCCUUGCUCGUCUGCACACAGAAUAGCCCUUGGUGCUAUUCUGGGGCCUGAGGAGUACUUUGAAAGUGGAGUAGAGCAUUAAUUUGCUCGGGUGGAUGCAACAAAUAUUACCGGCAGGUGGCUUCUACCCAGCGUUGGAUUGUGCAGAGUCCUGGGGCUGGAAGUCCAAGGUCAAGGUGGGCAGGGCUGGUUCCUCUUGAGCCUCUCUCCUGGGCCUGUGGAUGCAUCUUCUCCCCAUGUCCUCACACGGUCCUCUGUGCAUGUCUAUGUCCCAAUGUCUUGCUCUAAUUAGCUACACGUGACAGUGGCCUGCAUUUUGACACAUCAUAUAUAAAUGGAGUAAGACUUCUCAUUUUUCUGGUUGCACAUGAUGUGAGGUACACAAGUCGUGUAAUCAUAUAUGCACAUGGGUAAUGAUGUCCCACUCGUUCUACUGUCCUUCCUACCCCCAAAGCCAAUCUCUUUUUUAAGAACACCUGUCACAUUGGAUGAGGGACACCCAUAUGAUCUCAUUCUACGUUACACCUCCGUAAAGUGCAGCCACAGGCUGAGGUCCACAUAUGAGCUGUUGGGGACACACCUCAGGCCUGAACAAACAGGAACCUUCUGCCUUCAUAGCCUGCUAUUGUGUCUCUUGUGGCCAAUCCACUAAAGUCAGAAACCAGAAGAUUCGGUGUGAAUAAGCCUCCGUCUACGUACAGGGGAAAAGCCGCGCCUGAGACCCGUGGACCAGCCGCGAGCAGACCCCCACCUGAAAACCCAGAUUCAAAACUGCCUUUUGCAAUAUGUGCUGCGAACGUUUCCACCACCUAUUCCAUUAGAUUCUAAAAGCCAGAGUCAACUUUUCCCAGCCUUG